ACGAGUUAUCUGAACCUUCGGGGAACGAUAACGGCGUCGAGCGGCGGACGGGUGAGUAAUGCCUAGGAAAUUGCCUUGAUGUGGGGGAUAACCAUUGGAAACGAUGGCUAAUACCGCAUAAUGCCUACGGGCCAAAGAGGGGGACCUUCGGGCCUCUCGCGUCAAGAUAUGCCUAGGUGGGAUUAGCUAGUUGGUGAGGUAAUGGCUCACCAAGGCGACGAUCCCUAGCUGGUCUGAGAGGAUGAUCAGCCACACUGGAACUGAGACACGGUCCAGACUCCUACGGGAGGCAGCAGUGGGGAAUAUUGCACAAUGGGCGAAAGCCUGAUGCAGCCAUGCCGCGUGUAUGAAGAAGGCCUUCGGGUUGUAAAGUACUUUCAGUUGUGAGGAAGGGGGUGUCGUUAAUAGCGGCAUCUCUUGACGUUAGCAACAGAAGAAGCACCGGCUAACUCCGUGCCAGCAGCCGCGGUAAUACGGAGGGUGCGAGCGUUAAUCGGAAUUACUGGGCGUAAAGCGCAUGCAGGUGGUUCAUUAAGUCAGAUGUGAAAGCCCGGGGCUCAACCUCGGAAC
rnacentral:rRNA from 2 species